GGGCGAUUAGCGCAGUCGGUAGCGCGUGGGUCUCAUAAUCCCAAGGUCACGAGUUCGAUCCUCGUAUCGCCCA
rnacentral:tRNA from 1 species